ensembl:snRNA U6 U6 spliceosomal RNA
GUGCUCGCUUUAGCAGCAUGUAUAUUAAAAUUGGAAUGGUACAGAGAAGAUUAACAUGGCCCCUGCGCAAGGAUGACAUGCAAAUUCGUGAAGCGUUCCAUAAAAAU